rnacentral:tRNA from 1 species
UAAUAUGAAGCAAUUUCUGCAGUUAGUUUCGACCUAAUAUAUUGAUAUUUAUUUAUCCAUAUUAA